rnacentral:lncRNA from 1 species
AGCCCUGAGCAUGAAUCAAACUAACAAAAGGGGGAAAUGGUUUUCCUAAUGGCUUUCUCUCCGGAAAGCAAAGUACUCCAGCAGGUGAGGCCAAGGUGGGCCAUUAAAUCUUCAUGCAGGAAGAACAUCAAGCUGCCCCAGAUCUCACGGAGUCUCCUGUGGAGUCCUGGAGUUUUGUUCAAACCACUAGAGGUUAAUGACAGGUGAUCUCGGAUGGAUGUCUCCCCACCAUUGGAAGGGAGAAUCCAACCAUCCAGGUUAGAUUCUAUUCUAUUAAUUCUAUGAUUAAUUAAUUUUCAAGCA